GAUUGGAUGGGUCAAUGGUUGAGAUCUCCUUGGUGUGUAGAAGGUCCCGGGUUCAAUCCCCGGCAUCUCCAAUUA
rnacentral:tRNA from 1 species